CUUGCAAACGGCGUUCGCGCCACUGAGUGGCCUGGAACGCUAUUUCAGAGGGGCGAAUCUCAAAAAGGGCAAAGCGUUAGUGGGCGCGAGGCAUAUCCACGGCGUGCGGGAAAUACGUGACACGACGGCUACUGUGAUUGAAGGCUUUUGCGUGCCACAGACAAAGAUAAACAACUGCAGCCAUCAAGUGACACUUCACUUUGACGCGGAUCAGCGAAGCCAAGAUAUCUGCAGGAAGCGACAUGUACCUGCAAGGCAGGGGCUGCUGGCAAGUGCAAGCACGCAGCUGCUGUAGCUCUUUAUGUGCAGGCUGAGGAAUCUUCAUCGAAAACAAGUCGUGCACGGGAGUGGGGCAUUCCUUCCCGUACCAAACCACAAUGCCCGAAGUUCGUUCGAGCUUCUGCAGAUAUCAGCACAGCGGUCAAUAUGGUCAAUACCUUGCCUGUGCGAACAUCAGCGCCAUGGCAUAUGGUAUAGCCAUGGAGGCGGUGGCAAGACAGAAUUUU